rnacentral:lncRNA from 1 species
UUUUUUAUUUUUUUUUAUCAAUGAGUUAAAGAUUGGUGGUUAGAAUUGAUUAGGGAGGUUUAAUCUUCCUUGAUUCAAAUCUAAUUCAUCUUGAUCAUGGAUCAAGUCAAUGGCUUUGCAUUAAGGAUAGAUUGCUUUCUAAACCAUGCAAAGGACCUAAAUCAAUACAAGAUCAUUUCUCAUCUUCUUUUUGGCAUGGAAAGUUGUUGGAGUUUGAUUCAUUAAUCAAGACCUCUAACAUGUGUUAUUGCCUACAUUAUUAUUGACCGGCCUCAGAUAGUUGUGACUUCUACAUAAGUCCAAUUACGAUUGCUUAACAUAGCGCUAAAUUUG